CCUGAAUUGACAGUCAUUCACCGCGAUUUUGAUUGUAUUCGUCAUUUUAAACUUUUGAAACGUUCAAGAUAUGCCGUCUAAGGGAAAUCCACGAUGACGGAAACAACCCGUGACUCGGAAGUCAAACAGCGGAAAAGAAUGGGUGAUUUGUUUGACGUUCUCAAUUUGCGCGCUUUAACGCAUGUUCCAAAUUGGUGAAGUUAGGUCAGCCCCAACAACAACUGUGUUGAAUGGAUUAAAUGGACGAAAGUCCACUAAGAAGGAGUUUUGGUCCUUGAUUGGCUGUUUUUUUAAACUGUCUGUCAGCUGUCCGCCAACCUGCACAACAAAAGUAAAGACAUAAAUUUUCCUAUUCGAAAGUGAUGCUGAGACACAUAACUUGAACGGAAAAGGAAGUGGCUAUACUGGCGUCUGACGUCACCGAUUCGCUUCACCUGCGCGGUGUCCAAUUUCACAGACAGGAGGGCUCGGAUGGAGGACGGACGGAAGGCAGGCCGCUUCAAUGGGACGUCACGUUCUCCUCCGCGGACUCGGCACUUGUCGACGACUGAUUCCACAUAAGGGUGCCAUUGUGUCCGGCAGGGCUAUCGUCCAGGAUGUGCUUGAUAAAAAUGCCCCGCAUCACCUCGCCGUUACUCAGCCGACUGCCCAUCCCGCGCCCCCCUACGAUGCUGAUGCCAAGGGACUUGCCGGGCUGUCUGAAGAGCUCCACUCUGCGGUC